rnacentral:rRNA from 1 species
CGUGAAGGAUGAAAUCUCUCGGGAUGUAAACUUCUUUUAUCGAGGAAGAAUAAUGUGACGGUACUCGAUGAAUAAGCCCCGGCUAACUACGUGC